rnacentral:rRNA from 1 species
GACGAACGCUGGCGGCGUGCCUAACACAUGCAAGUUGAGCGACGAACCAGGGCUUGCCCUGGGGCAAAGCAGCGAACGGGUGAGUAACACGUAGGUAACCUACCCCGAUAACCGGGACAACCCGAGGAAACUCGGGCUAAUACCGGAUGUGCUCACUGGACUUCGGUUCAGUGCGUAAAGGAAGCUUCGGCCUCCGUAUCGGGAGGGGCCCGCGGCCCAUUAGUUUGUUGGUGAGGUAACGGCUCACCAAGACCGCGAUGGGUAGCUGGUCUGAGAGGACGAUCAGCCACACUGGGACUGAGACACGGCCCAGACUCCUACGGGAGGCAGCAGUGGGGAAUCUUGCGCAAUGCGCGAAAGCGUGACGCAGCAACGCCGCGUGGGGGAAGAAGGCCUUCGGGUUGUAAACCCCUUUCAGGAGGGACGAAGGUUCGGCGGUGAAUAGCCGUCCGGACUGACGGUACCUCCACAAGAAGCCCCGGCUAACUACGUG